rnacentral:rRNA from 1 species
GCGGUUAAAAAGCUCGUAGUCGAAUCUGUGUCCCGCGCCGCCGGUUCAUCGUCCGCGGUGUUAACUGGCGUGUCGCGGGACGUCCUGCCGGUGGGCUUAGCUCUUGGCGGCCCAACUCAAUCCCCCCGCGGUGCUCUUGACUGAGUGUCGAGGUGGGCCGGCGUUUACUUGAAAAAUAGAGUGCUUAACGGCGUCUGCCUGAAUGUUUAUGCAUGGAAUAAUAGAAUAGGACUUCGGUUCAUUCUGUUGGUCUUCAGACCGAAGUAAUGAUUAAGAGGAAUUGACGGGGGCAUCCGUAUCGUUGCGUGAGAGGUGAAAUUGUUGGACCUCCACACAGCAAUUCAGAAUGUUUUCAUUAAUCAAGAACGAAAGUCAGAGGCGAAGGCGAUUAGAUACCGCCCUAGUUCUGACCGUAAACGAUGCCAUCUAGCGAUCCGGAGUUGGUUAUAUCACCAUUCCGGGGAGCUUACCGGAAACGAAAGUCUUCGGGUUCCGGGGGUAGUAUGGUUGCAAAGCUGAAACUUAAAGGAAUUGACGGAAGGGCACCACCAGGAGUGGAGCCUGCGGCUAAUUUGACUCAACACGGGAAACUCACCAGGCCCGGACACCGGAAGGAUUGACAGAUUGAGAGCUCUUUCUUGAUUCGGUGGUUGGGGCAUGGCCGUUCUU